UGAAGAGCAAGACAGAGCCAAGUUAUAACCUCAUUAGCUAUGGGUCUUUUAGAAACUUGUGCCUGGAAUGUAGGUAGACUGUUAUGGUAGGAGCUUAGAUCUGUGGACUUUUUUCUCUUUUGGCCUAAAUUCAAAAUGCUCAUCAAUGUGAAUAAGCUGCUCCCUACGGCUUGAGGCUCAACACUGAGGCCUGGUAUCAGGAAAUGAACUUACUAACAUGUGACCUUGGAGCUUUAAAGGUUUAAUGCACUUUCUCAACUGUCUGAUGUGCCAUUAAAGAAGCUUAUCUGGCUGGCAGAAUGUAAAGGUUGUACAAACUGCUUUGAAAACAAAAUUAUCUACUCUUAUAAUAUUCUGAAAUUCAAAUAGUUAGGUAAGUAUUGUCUUUGGAAAGAUGAAUCGUUCUCUAAAUUACACAGAAUUUCUUGUCACUGGCUUACAGCUUUAUAAGGAUGUGAAUUCCUAGUUCAAAUUCAAAUCAAAGCAUUUCAUCACAAGAAGAAUUCUUCCUCAGGUGAAAAUACAUGUGACUGGAUAUGUCUGCUUAUGGUGCAUUGUGUUGGCUUUGACAGGUACAAGAGACAGCUCUGGAAUUGUGUUUUUUUGUUGUUGUUGUACUAUGCGGGUGAUUAAUGAUCAAGAGUUUUAUUUCUGAAAUAAACAUUAAUGACACAAAAAUUAAAGGUGGGCUACCAUAAAUGCAUAUAGGGAUUCAGUUACAGAAGGUUGGAUUUGGCUUUUGCAAAUUAUAUAUUUGGCAACAGAGUAUAAGUAUAACGGAAUAUAAUAGGGUAUAUCCUUACCCUAUCAGCUUAUUGGUUUAGGUUAUAAGGAUCCUGAAAGAUAGGUUUUAAAAAUUUCGUUAAAAUUUGUCUUGUUUGUGUGGGUCCUCACAAGUUGAGAGAAAUAGUCAUUACACACAAGGUUGUUUUUAAGGUUAUUUUUGUUUUUAGCCCAGAAUUCAGUCAUUAUAUUGUGUUACAUGUAGUUGUUCAAUAACAUUAAUUAAAAUACCAUCUCUGCUAGAAGGUGAUGGGAAACAGCCAGGCUGCCUCCUAGGGACUGAUAAAUAGGUGGAGAGGCAGAGUGAAUAUUUGGAUUUGUCUUCCUUUCUUAAGACUACUUUCUGAAAUAAAAAUUAAAAAUAGGAUUAUUAGAUCCUAAACAUGUUUAGAACUACUCUCCCUUGUCACCACAGAUGUUGUUAGGCUAAACUUCCCUCUUCAGCUUAAAAUAGCCUCUUGGUCACUAAUCACCCACACGGUACAAGAGUGCUAUCACAGAGCUGUCACUGUACCUGCCAGACACAGCGCUCUACAGCAAACAAAUAAAUCCCAGUCUCAAAGAUUCCCACAACCUUAAUGUUCUUUAUCUUACAAUUUAUGGGGUGGGGGGGAAAGGCAGGAGACACUAAGUGCCUAAAACUGGGCUCUGCACUAGCACAUCUAGGAAGUCCCAUGUCCAGAUGUAGGACUGCUGUGGGGCUAGAAUGGAACUUUCAUCUCGCUGUACUGGACUUUGUGGAUAGAAAGGACUGGUAGAGAGCACAAGUAUCCUGUCCAUGCAGAGGCCAGACGGGGCUGCUACAAGCUCUGUCUCCCUUUGCUAUUGAUUUUUUUUUUGCAAGACAGAUCCAAAAAAGCUUCAAAAUUUGGUCCUAGUCAGUUCCCAACAUUCUUAGAGGGACUUGUUAGUGAGACUAACUAGCGAGGAUUAGCCUGGGUCACUAUGGGUGCUGUUCAAUUAGUGCUUCAGGCAGGAUACACAACAGACUCAUAGAAUGGCAGAUGCCCUAAGCAGCACUCUGGCCUCAGAAUCAGCCCUUGAGGCAUUCGGAUCUGGCUGAAAAGCCCAUGAGAGUAUUUUAGGCAUGGAAAGCCAAGACACUCUGGCAAAAAAAAACAAAACAAAACAAAACAAAACAAAAAAAAACCUAAAUGAAAGAUCUCUGUGAGUGAGACCCCAGUAGAAAGAAUGGGCCAUCAAAGAAGGAGGUAACUUUCUCUGAAGGGAGGAGAGAACUUUCACUUUGACCAUGGCCUUGUCUAAAUAAGAUCAAAGUCAGCAAACUCAGAAGGCUUCCAUAGCCUUGGCAACUCAUGACAAGAGCCUAGGGAGAUUGCUGAUACCAUCAACAAGAGUGCCAAUUUGUUAGGUCAACAACAGGAGUCACUGUGCACUUAUUCCUCAUGUAGGAUCUCUGUCCUUAAUGUGUUGUUCAAUGUGAAUUAAUGUUAUAACUAGUACUCAAACAGUAUUUUACACUUUGUGUUCUGUGUGGGUGCAAACUGUUGAGAUCUUUACUUAAUAUAUACUAAACUGAUCUUCUGUAUGUAAAGAUAAUUGAAAAUGAGUCUUGAUGUGAAUGGAAUGGGAGAGGGAGCGGGAGUUGGGAGGGUUGCGGGCAGAACGGAAGUUAUGGGGGAGGGCAUUGUAAUCUAUAAGCUGUACUUUGGAAAUUUAUAUUUGCUAAAUAAAACUUAAAAAAAAAAUUAGUGCUUCAGUUUACACAAUAAAAGUGCUCCCCGUAAGUCCUCCUGGAUGCUCCUUCUUGGGUCUUGAGUCUAUGGUAGGGCAAUGAUUCUGUAUCUACACCCAAGUCCAGGCCCUGCCCCUCUACUUGUCACUUUUCUCCCCAGGGAUUGCUGAGCAAACUGUCUGCAUAACAAUUUACCAUUGGGUUUUUUGAAUACUGGCUUUAAAUUCAUCACAGCAACAUUGUGUCUUCACCCCUGUCUGCAAAACUAACCCUACCAUGUAAAUUUAAAUAUUAAUCGCAGAUGCGUGGAUUUGGCUACUUAGCAAUGGAACACAUUCUGUUUUACAUGCACAUUUUCUUAGACAUGAGAUCUGAAGAGAAAUUAGUUCUACAUGCUCAGCUGCUGCUAACCUCGAUAGAUUGCUGGGGGGUGCUUGAGGAGGGCAUUAUGGAGAGAUUUGUACUUCAAAGACCAAAGCAAGAUCCCAUUCCCUAGGAACCAAUUACACAGGAAGCCCUCCACCCCAAAUCGUAAGACAAAUGAAGAGUCUUCUUAAAAACUCAAUCAUUGAAAAUGAUUAUCUAUCAAUGUUUUACAUGAUUAUUUCCAUUCCCUAUCAUCCUCACUCCCAUUCAGAAUCACGCUUACUAUCGGGGAAAUAGUUCAAUCUAACUGUGAGGUAGUGGUGCACUACAGAUAACAAAGACUGCAACAGGGCAUGACAAUUUCUCACUUCCUGGGGCUUCCUUCAGGAGAGAGUUAGAGUUCACUGGAACUGGGGCAUGGGUAGAACGGAGAGCAAGAGCAGCCAGAGAACCACGGUAACUCAUAACCUUUCUGUGUAACCUCUGCAGCUCUGGGAGUUGGAAAUAAGCAAGCAGGGGUGGGAGGCUGCCUCGGAGACAUGAAGGAGAAGGUGGGGUGGAAGAAUUGGAAAAUCAAUAUUCCAAUAUUCCACAGUUCUCAUAGGUUACUCAAAUGGAGACAAGAAGGAAAAGCAGGCACGCAGUAGGAAGGGAGACACAGAACAGUGUUAUGGCCUGAAUUCUCCCCAUCCUGGAUGAGGUGGCUGUGCAUGGUCAAUGGAAGCGGUGUCUUAGUACAGUGAAUAAGCGGCUCUACAGGGCACAAGGGUCUAGAGUGAUAGUGACCAUUACAUUGAGCGAGCAUGGCAGGGAGGGAUCUGUAUUAUGAAGCAGACUGCCCUCUGAGUAAGUCUGGGAGUCCUGUAUUUUGGUGUCCUCUGGGCUUACGGUACAUAAUGAAUAGAAAGAAGAAAAAUAAGAGUGGGCAUUGUGAUGCAGUGGUUUAAGCUACUGCUUGGAACACCCACAUCCCAUAACCUGGUAUUGGUGUGAGUCUGCUUCCAAUCCAGCUACCUGCAAAUGCACCUGAGAAGCAGUUCAUGAUGCUUGGGUUCCUGCUUUCCAUGUGGGAGACCUGAAUGGAGUCCCUGGCUCCUGGCUUUGGCCGAGCCCAGCCACAGCAGUUAUUGUUGCAGUCAUCUGGGGUGUGAGCCAGUGGGUGGAAGAGAAUCUCUCUCUCUCUCUCUCUCUAUGUGUGUGUGUGUGUGACUCUAGUCUUCAAAUAAAUAAAUAUAUCUUAUUAAAAAAAAGAGAGGAAAAAGUGGACCCCGAGGUAGUAGGGGUAGUGGGGAGGAAAGUUGAGAAAUAGGUUCCUCUGUAAAUAGUCACACCCUAAUGCUGUCUCAGAGAGGCUGCCUGCUGAGGUUGGAACUCCCAGUGUCCUCCCUCUUCCAUCCUCCAUCAGGGCAGGCCAGACUGUUUCCUGCCAUAAAACAGGCAAGGAAGAAAACGUGGGCUGCAUUUGGCUACCUGAGACCUGAGUUAGAAUGUUGGAGACUGAAGAAAGCUUGAGUUCAAAGACAGUUUACAAAAUCUGAGAAGCAAAUUUCCCACAGCAAACUCAGCUUCAUGCUGAGUUACCGCCAUGGGUCAGGAGGGGGCAGGAGCCCAAAGGCUAAGGGGUUGUCCUCUCUCCUUUCCUCAAAUGUGACUUAACCACUCUUUGUUCUAGUCUUAGUUCCCGAAUCAACACCGUAAAAACCAACUUUGUCCAUCAAAUCUAAAGAAGGAGGACAUUGAAUACAACUAAACAUAUAUAGAUGUGCCGAACAAGGUGUCAAAUGGGGUAGAAGGCCAGAAAGGCCAAGCCUAACCACUGCCCUGAAGGAAAUGACUUGUCAGGCCGGUAACUACAGGGCAGGGAAGAGGAGGUUAAGUACUGACCAGAGGUAGCUGGAAGCAGAGAGGGAGGAAGGAACACUCUGGCUCAGGAAAUUUUCACAGAGGGGAGGGUCCAUGAGCUGGACUUGCUAAUUCCCUUGGCCUCAUCCUCAUUUGCUUCUGGGCUGAUGCUGAGGACUUCAGCAGAGAAAGUAACAGAACUUUCAUCCUGGUUCCCACUCCCCAGCAGGACAGCAUCUUCAGCUCUUCCUCCCCAGUAGCUUUCUCCAGAGUCCUUUACAUUUUGGACUCUGUAACAGAGUCAGCACCCAGAAUCCUCCGCGUCUCUUCUAUCACUGGGUUUUCUGUGCAGCCGUGGGCAGGGAUGCUCUCUCCUAUGUCUCCUCACUUUGAUGGCCCCAUCUCAGAGGUGACAUCCCAUGUAUCCUUUCCCUGGUUCUGAGGCACCAUUGUUGACUGGACUUCAGGCGCCAAGGAGAGGCAAGAGAGAACUUGUAGUUUCUGAACUGUUAAUGAUGUCUUGCCUAUGCUUAACUGGUCAUAUCUCUACUGGAAACAGUAGAGAUAUGACCUUCUUUUCCUUCCCAGAAACACCUGGUGAAGAAGAAAGAAUUGAAUUUUCCUAGCGCACAGGCAGACACCAAAGAAGGGAAUUUCCAGGACAGGGAAAGAUGAAAUCAUACUAUAAGGUCAGGAGGAAGUAGAAAGCUGAGGCUUUCUUGACCUAGGCUUCUAGGAUGACUGAGAUAAUGAAGAUGUAGGCAGCCAGCCUUGGAACCCAGUGGAGGUGUGUGAUCGAGUGCACUUGGAUACACAGAAGCACGACCUGCUUCCACCCACACUCUCCCAAGUUAAAAUAAGUUUGACACUUUAGGGUCACUUUCAAAUACCUUAGCUUUUAUAACCAAGAUGAGCCUUUGUCCACCAACAGUUUCCCUACAGCGGCUCACUUCCCAAGUCUCUCUCCAUUCUAUUGCUCUCUCUGGCUCCUGUAUCCAGUCUUCACUUUCACCUCACAUAUCUUAUACAUUCUUUCUGGAUUCAUCUACUAAGGAACAAUAUGAGCACAUCAAUGUGUAUACUUGUUGCUCAUCUACUGGGCCUUUAAGGGCAAGAUAUAUCUUUUUCUGUCUUUAAUACCAAGACUUAAUGUAGAAUUUUACACAUAACACAUGUGUAAUACGUGUGUCAAAAUAGAGGAAUGUAUAGACAAAACAGUUUGAUAAUUAAAAUCUGAGAGAAAAAAACACACUUAAAUUUAGUUUCAAGGUCUUAUGGAAGUUGAGAUACAGUGAAACAACUGUCAUUAUUGAAGCAAUUUAUCAAAAGCUGAAGAAAUAACUAAAACAGUGAUUUAUUUAAAAGUUAUGUUUUAGAUAUUUACAUCUCCCCAACGUUCUUAAUACACAAAAAUAUGGCUAACUAAAAAUGUGUUGGGGCCAGCUGUUGUGGUGCAGUGGGUUAAGGCACCACCUGCAACACUGGAAUCCAUAUGGACACAGGUUUGAGUCCAUGCUACUCUACUUCUAAUCCAGCUCCCUGCUAAUGUGCCUGAGAAAGCAGUGGAAGAUGGUACAAGCGUUUGGGCACUUGCCACCAAAUUAGGAGACUUAGAUCAAUUUCAGGGUCCUGGCUUCCGCCUGGAUCAAACUCGGCCAUUGCGGCCAUUUAGGGAGUAAACCAGUAAAUGGAAGAUCUCUCUGUUGACCUCUUCCUAACUCUGUCUUAAAAAUAAAUAAAAUAACUGCUUUUUAAACAAAAAGAAAUCUGAUGAUUUCUUCUAAAUCAAAUGCAUAAAGUACAACAUGCAUUCUUUGUACAUUACUUAUUGGAAUUGUGGCCAGUAACUGGGCCUAAAUUUAAAGGAUGAUGCUUAUCUCCACCCUGCAAUUUUGUCAGUGUAUUUCUGUGACUCUAUGGAUUGUUUAAGAGAUUAGGUCAAAAGUCUAAAUGAUGGGUGCUUAAUGGAUGUGAGGCCCAGGAUAAACAGGAAGGCCGCCAUGGCCUUAACACAAGCCUUCUUCUAGUAAAGCUUCUUAACUGCGUCUAUGCCAACCUCUGGGUUGCUAUGACUUGGUAACUAACGCUGGCCAGGAGACAGGGCUGAGAUCAGACUUUGGCAAUAUCAUGCAGGGCCCCCAUAGGCCUGACAGAGAGUCUGUGGUGUGAGAACUGAGAUUUUUCAAGAAACCAAAGUGUUACAUAGAAAUUUUGAGAAGGCUUAAGUAAACAAGAUGAAACUUCACCUUGUAGCAUAAACCAGAAAAUAGAUUAGAUGGCCUUUCAAGGUUCACUCUAUUUUGGGGAUCCAAGAAUUUUCAUAUAUUUGGAAUAGAGAUUUUUAUAAAUCUCUUUUUUGAAAAAUUACAUAAAAAUAACAUAUUCAUAUUCUCAGCACACUAGGUCAUUAAACAAGUGGGAUUUCAUCAUAAUUGAAAAGAAUUAGCAGGAAUUUUGGAUGGGCCCAAUAGUAACUGAGCUCACUAGGCACAGAAUCUCAACAUGCUCGACCUUGGAAGAACAACAGAAAGUCAUCCUGACCAGAAACAUUCUUAGGAGAUAAAGCAAAGCUCAUUUUCAGGAUGUUUUAAAAAAAAAUGCAGUGAUGUGAACCAUGCAGAUGGAAGCUGAAGAGGCCAGAGAGCAGGCCUCGUUCUCUCCACGGAACCCAGCAGAGUUUCCAAGACACGAAGAGAGACACGCCGAAGAGGGCGAGACCACAGGCAGUGACCACAAGGGUCAGCAGGCUCACUGAGAUAUCUGCAAAGAAGCAAAGAUCAAAGAACAGAAACCAGACCCCACCAGGCAUCUGUCUCACCCUACAGUAGAGUCAAGGAGGCUGAAGCAUGAACCUGAGCUCACUCCUGGUGUUAUGGUGGCUGUAGACACCUGACUUUAAAGGAAAUUCCUAUGUGGCUUUACUGUGCUCCACUACACUCAGGGGCCCUCGGGAUUCUCCCUAGGGUUUGUCUCUACUGCCUGUCAUUAAUAUAUACACUGCUUCAAAGUUUUUUGAAUGUCCACAUGUGCCAGGUACUGUACAAGCCUCUGGAGAUACAGUAGAGAACAUGACAGACACAUUCCAUACCUUCACCGAUUCAUGAUCUGGUAAGGAGAAAUUAAAAAUUAGUUAUUCAGUCCUCAUAGUUUGGACUAUCCACAGCAGCAUGAACAUUCUGUGAUUUAUGACAAGUUGUAUUUCAGCUGAGGCACCUGCAAGUCAGUUACCUACUGAGCCAACCUGACAAACUGCCAUCAGUGAGCUUUUCAACAUGACUAUGAAGGUACCUGAUCAUUCUUAUAGUGAUAAAACUGUUUCCUCAUGAAAGUGCUCUUGAGAGAAAACUGCCAGGUGGUCAUGAGUCUAUCCUGUCUCCUCUGUGUCUCCUGGUCAAUCUGUGCCCUUGUGGUGAAAUAGCAUCAUGGAUCUGUUUUAAAACACAGGAUUCCAGUUCAACAGGAAUAACUGAGCUCAAACCUUUGUCAUUUCUGUCUCCUCAACUCCCACUGAAACAGGAUAUAAGCGAUGGAAAACAAGGAAUGGUAACAUCAAUCCAUCAGUGAACUAGUGACUGUGAGGAAUUUCUGGAAUUGUUUUAAUCAAAAAAAGCCAAUCCGUGCAGAAAACUUAACACAGGCAGAAGAAAGGAUACUGGGUGCAGAUAUAAAUUAAAAAUCUCGGGUGCAGGGGCCAGCAUUCGGUGCAGUGGUUAAGAUAUUGCUUGAGAUGCCGGCAUCCUAUGGGAGAAUACCAGGGUUCAAGUCUCAGCUCCAUUUCCAAUGUCAGCUUCCUGAUAAUGUCAUUCUGGGAGGUAAUGGUGAUGGAUUAAGUACCUGGAUCUGUGCAACCCAUGUAGGAGGCCUGAAAUGAGGUCCAGGCUCCUGAUUUUUACCUGACCCAGCCUUUGCCCUUGGGGGCAUUUGGAGAAUGAACCAGAGGAUAGAGGACCUCUGUCUCUGUGCCUUUCAAAUAAACAACAUUUUUUUUUUUUUGACAGGCAGAGUGGACAGUGAGAGAGACAGAGAGAAAGGUCUGCCUUUACCGUUGGUUCACCCUCCAAUGGCCGCUGUGGCUGGCACACUGCGCUAAUCCAAAGCCAGGAGCCAGGUGCUUAUCCUGGUCUCCCAUGCGGGUGCAGGGCCCAAGCACUUGGGCCAUCCUCCACUGCACUCCCUGGCCACAGCAGAGAGCUGGCCUGGAAGAGGAGCAGCCGGGACAGAAUCCAGCGCCCCGACCAGGACUAGAACCCGGUGUGCCGGCGCCACAGGCAGAGAAUUAGCCUAGUGAGCUGCGGUGCUGGCCAAACAACAUUUUUUAUUUUAAUCUCAGCUACUGGGCAAUUAGGGCAGAGAAGGAGCAUAAGGAGUGGAAUAGGAGGUCAAAGUAAAAGGUGCUAGAAACUAUAGUUCUUAGAGCCCCAACAGGAGGUGGAGGAGAGCAUAGUUGCUUCUCAGGCCCCACUUGGCUCUGAUGGCUCACACAAAAUUUGUGCAGACUUCUACAUUAGGUGGUAGUGCUGGUAGCCAGGGAAAGAUGAAACUCUCCCAGUUUCUCAGGCUGCCACAGAAAACAUCAAUCCCCAUCCCCCUCCAACAGAAUCUGAAAAGCAAAAUACACUCUGCACAGAAGCAAAAUCCCUUAAUACUUCCAGCAAUCCACAUGGAGGCAGAACUCCUUCCCUCUGUUCUGUUAGUCACUUCGGCUCUGUCCUGACACAGACAGCACCACACAGAUAGCACGGGAAGGGCUGGAGGAGCAAAACGCUGGGAAACACUAGAGUUUAAGGAGUGUGAUGUGAUGGCUGUUUAUUACUGAAUAUUCACUGUCUGUGCCACAGUGCCCUCCUCCAAGGGAGAAGCAUAAAUCCCCAUCUGCCAAUGCUGGUCCCCACCAUGUGACUUCUCUGCCCAGAGGAGGACAAGUCCAUGUAGCCCAUGUCAACUCCGAGUACUCGAGCUCUCACCUUCUGCAUAAGACGAGUCCUGAGAUACGGGAUUAUCUUCUGACUGGUGUGCCACAAAGAGAGGACCUGUAGCAUAGGUCCAAAGUCUAAAUGAAGAGUAAACUUAAAUCUGACCCACAUCUGUGGCAGGGCUGCAGGUGACACACAAGUAUACAUGACUAAUUUACCAUCCAAAGUUGGGACACUGUUGAGAGGGAGAGGGUUCAUAUGAAUAAUUGCAUGAGGAUAAGCUACCUAACCCAGGAUUGUCCAGUGUAAACUAGGAUAAAUGGUCACCCUGCACUUAAGAAUCCCACCUGAGCUGUGAAUUCAUUCACUCACCUUGACAUAGACAACAACAAACUAAAUUGAAGGCUUAGCCUGUGUUUCUCAGUAACCAGGGACCCCAAACCAGGUCAAGAACAACUCCAGGCUCAAAAGUCAGCCUCCUCUCAAGUCCAGUCAUGGGGAUCGUGAGAACAGAGACUUUAUCCAUUUCAACAAUGAAAGCCAAACACCUCACAGAGAUCCUGGCACCUAGUACGUGUCAAUAAAUCACGAAGCCUAUCUGAGGAGCCCUGUAGCUACCUGCUAUGUCUAUCUGUAAGCUUGGGGGUGGGGAGGAACAUGGAUGGGGGAUGAUAAUUGCAUUCCUAGUAACAGAAUUUCUGCAGAGAGCAGUUACAAAAAAAUUCUGGCAAAUGGCAAGAAAGGCCUCCUCUUAUUUACUUGAAGGCACCAUGUGAGUUAGCAGUGGGCCUAGGAAUGCCUCCCAGAGAAACCAUUGGUGACCUUCGGUGCCACUUUAGCCACUAAGUGUAACCAUCUGGACUGCUGCUAAUGAAGUUCUCAGUGUGCCCUCCACACACUACUUUGUGCUUUUCUCUUUUUUCAGAAAACAGCUCAAGUCACUAAGGCCACACGGCUCACCUCAGUGUCUAAGGAUUUGGCUGCUCUGCAUGAAGACUUAUUCUUACUGCCAAGAACUGGCUGUUGUGCGGUACCAGUACAUCACUGGCCCUAAUCCAGGCAGCAGGGAGACUGAAUUUUCUAAGGAACUGUACAAAACUAUUUUUCUUCUAAUAUGCCCAUUGCCCUUUAUCUAUGGUCUUUACCUGAUGUCCAUUUUAGUGCUCAAAAUAUUUACUUUAUCAGCCUUGCUUUUGCAGGAUAAGUGACGAUCACCAGAUGGCAACAGGGUUACACUUAACCCUGGGCAAUUAGAUGCAGGAGAUCAGCAAUUUCUGGGUUACAAUCAUAUACACACAAAAAAUGCAUAUACAUAUAGGAUAAUUAAAGAUUUUCUGUACUUCUCUAACUGGGUAACUUUCUUCACAGCAAAUGCCCUUAUCUUUGAAACAAUCAUUCUGCAAUUGUGCUUAUAAUUGCCUGUGAAGCUCGUCAAAAGUAUAGAUUCCUGGGACUGGUAUUACACCACAGCAGGUUAAGGCACAGCUUGGGAUGCCAGCAUCCAACAUGAGCAUCAGUUUGAGUCCCAGGUGCUCUACUUCUGAUCCAGUUCCCUGCUAUUAUGCCUGGGAAACCAGCGGAAGAUGGUCCAAGUGCUUGCACCCCUGCCACUUACAUGGGACACCUGGAUGGAGUUCCUGGCUCCUGGCUCCUGGCUCUGAUCUGGUCCAGUCCCAGCUGUUGCAGCUAUUUGAGGAGUGAACCAGCAGAUGGAAGACCUCUCUCUCUCUCUCUCUCUGUGUGUGUGUGUGUGUGUGUGUGUGUGUGUGUCUGUCUGUCUCUGUCUCUCCCUCUCUCUCUGUACCUCUGCCAUUCAAAUAAAUGAAUAAAUCUUUUAAAAUAGCAUAGAUUUCUGGGCUGUGCCUCUACAGAGCCCAAUUUUGGGUGAGGUCCAGGGACCUACAUUUUUAAUAAACACGCCU